rnacentral:rRNA from 1 species
GAUGAACGCUGGCGGCGUGCCUAAUACAUGCAAGUCGAGCGAACAGACGAGGAGCUUGCUCCUCUGACGUUAGCGGCGGACGGGUGAGUAACACGUGGAUAACCUACCUAUAAGACUGGGAUAACUUCGGGAAACCGGAGCUAAUACCGGAUAAUAUAUUGAACCGCAUGGUUCAAUAGUGAAAGACGGUUUUGCUGUCACUUAUAGAUGGAUCCGCGCCGCAUUAGCUAGUUGGUAAGGUAACGGCUUACCAAGGCAACGAUGCGUAGCCGACCUGAGAGGGUGAUCGCCCACACUGGAACUGAGACACGGUCCAGCCUCCUACGGGAGGCAGCAGUAGGGAAUCUUCCGCAAAGGGCGAAAGCCUGACGGAGCAACGCCGCGUGAGUGAUGAAGGUCUUCGGAUCGUAAAACUCUGUUAUUAGGGAAGAACAAAUGUGUAAGUAACUAUGCACGUCUUGACGGUACCUAAUCAGAAAGCCACGGCUAACUACGUG